UGGAGCAUUUUUUUUGUCUAACGGGCACAUCGUGCACAGCCCCCAAGCCGUUACACGACUAGUUUGGGUAUAAGGGUCAACCACUAGUCCAUGUGACCGUUUGCCUUCAGAAAUCAUAUCUUUUCCGAAAAAAUUGGUAACCAUUCCGGCGAUAACUGAUGGCUUAAAAGUGGAAUAUUCCUCGUAAUUUUCGCCACUCGGUUACCUGUGCUACGGUUUGUAAAUAUCGGAGGAAUCUUAUCCCUUCCAUUUACCCAAGCUAGUGCGCCUGUUCAUCUUCUCACUAUUGCCCUAGUGUCACUGCUUGCCAUCCCCGAGCACUCCCUAGCAUUGCCAACACCCC
rnacentral:lncRNA from 1 species